AGUCACUGACAUUAGAUACCCCUGUAGUCCAGGGUGUAAACGCUGCAGACUUGGUGUUGGGAACCCUUCGGGGGUGCUCAGUGCCGGAGAGAAGUUGUUAAGUCUGCUACUUGGGAGUACGUCCGCAAGGAUGAAACUUAAAGGAAUUGGCGGGGAGCACCGCAACGGGAGGAGCGUGCGGUUUAAUUGGAUUCAACACCGUAAAACUCACCAGGGAAGACUGUUACAUGAAGGCCGAGAUGAAGACUCUGCUAGAUUUUCAG
rnacentral:rRNA from 1 species